UAGACCAGGCUGGUCUUGAACUCACAGUGAUCUGCUUGCCUCUGCGUCCUGAGUGCUGGGAUUAAAGGUACCCACCACCACCACCUGGCUUGUUUGACUGGCUUUAAUGUUGGCCUUGUAAAACUAAGCUGAAGAAGGAAACAAAUAACAGGUUGUAUGCUGUGAUCUACAUCAUAUACGCACUCUGGAGACUACUACUGUAGUAUGGGUUUUUAUUAUUGAAGCACAUUCAUUUUUCCUACUGUUUAUAAAUGCACAGUGCAUCUCUGUUUUGAAGAUGGUUGCCUCAUAGUUUUGCCAGUUAUCAUGAGAAAUAAAAUAUGAUUUUCAGA